UAAUACAGAGGUGUCAAGCGUUGCUCGGUGUCACUGGGCUUAAAGGGCGCGUAGGCUGCGCAGUACGGCUCGGGUGAAAUCCCUCGGCCCAACCGAGGAACUGCCCGGGCGACGGCUGUGCUGGACUGCAUCAGGGGCGGAUGGAACUCCCGGUGGAGCGGUGAAAUGCGUAGAUAUCGGGAGGAACGCCGGUGGCGAAAGCGAUCCGCUGGGGUGCAAGUGACGCUGAGGCGCGAAAGCCAGGGGAGCAAACGGGAUUAGAUACCCCGGUAGUCCUGGCCCUAAACGAUGCGCACUAGAUAGCGGCUCGUUCCGACGAGCCGCUGUCGGAGCAAAAGCAUUAAGUGCGCCGCCUGGGGAGUACGGCCGCAAGGUUA
rnacentral:rRNA from 1 species